AAGAAAGGCCUAAAAAUCCCCAAAAAAGAAUAGUUUGACAUUUUGGGAAAUGCUAUUCAGGUUUUUUUGCCGUGAGAUAGCUAGAUGAGAGGAUUGAUAACGUUACCACUCUCAUGUGUGCACAAUAAAUACAAAGCUACAGCCAUCAGCCGGCUAAUUUAACUUAGCACACAGACUAACACGGGGAAACAGCUAGCCUGGCUGUCCAAAGUUAUGAAAUAUAACGUGUUAAAUUGUGGUAACAGUUUAAGAUUUAUUUAUUUUUUACCUUUGGACAGACAGGCUAGUUGUUUCCCUCUGUUUCCGGUCUUUAUGCUAAGCUAACCAGAUGUAGCUUCACAUUUCUCAUACAGAUUUGAGAAUAUUAUCAUCUUACUAUCUUCUCAUCUAGCUCUCUGCAAGAAAGCAAAGAAGUGUAUUUCCAAUAAAGUUGACUAUUUCUUCUAAAUUUAACUCAACAGCGUAUAGUCCAGUCCAUUUUGAGGGCACUGAUAUAAACACAGGCCUAUAGCGUAUACUGUAUACUGUGCAAUGAGUCCCAGUCAACAUGUACUGUGCAGACACCCAACCCGCACAAACGUUACUGUAAACGGCACUGACAGUCUGAUGUAAUUUUAUUAAAGUAGGCUACAUCCAUUAGACUUCUGAGUGGUCUUCGAUCAACACACAGUGGCCGAGGCCUUUAUAACAGAAAACUCUUAAAAAAAUGUAGCCUAGGUAAUGAAUUGAAAUUGAGGGUCACAAAAACAUGAAAAACUUUAAUACAUAAAAGAAGGCCUAAUUUAAAUGUCCUCUCUUCUACCAAAAGGAGAAAUCUUGAAAUUGACACCAAACUCCACACUGCUGCAAAUACAGUAAUGUAAGCAUUUAUAUUUUCAGGCAGUGUUGAAUGAUUUGACAUCAAAAAGCCAUGUUUGUCAUUUCACAUUUACAUUGUUUCUACAGGUUUGUGGAUUGAAGCUGUUCAAGGUUGUCGUUUCAUAAAGUUUGGGCUGGUUCCAUUUCUUCCACGUUCAUCUUCCAUUGCUAAUAAAAUCGAGGGUUUACAUGAGAUAAAUUGUCACUGAGUAUUAUUGCAGGAAACACCAUGAACUACUUCCUACUACCGAUGUACCGAGGUAUUUUCAGCUACUUUGAGCAAUGAUUCAGUUUGUUGAGAUUCCUCAUUAAGAAAGAAAGUUUCCUCACUGUUCGGUUCCUCAGACUGUCUGCAUCCAUAUGGUUGUAAAUUUAGGGGUUGACCAUAGGAGUUAGGCUUGUUUUAAUCUGUAACUGGCCAACAAAAGGGUGGGACAUAAGCACAAAUUUUACUGGAGAAAA